rnacentral:misc_RNA from 1 species
UGACUGCGGAGGAUCAUUAUUGAAUAAACCUGAUGGGUUGUUGCUGGUUCUCUAGGGAGCAUGUGCACGCCUUGUCAUCUUUAUAUCNCCNCCUGUGCACCUUUUGNAGACCUUUCCAAGGUCUAUGUUUAUUCAUUUACCCCAAUGUAUGUUANUANAAUGUUGUGUUUAUNAAAUCUAUACNACUUUCA